AUUAUAAUUAAGUUCAUCUGUCUAUUUUGUUCUGAGAGUGUAGUGAUUGAGUCAAAAAUAGACCAAAGAUGAGUGUAUAGAAGUAAGAGUGUAACCAUAACUGUCAAACGCGCACAUGGAAAAGAACAACAUAAACAAGGACGAACAAAAACCAAAAAAACACAUCGUUGGAAGAACCGAACACCUUGAGCAGUUGGAUUCGCCAUUGCUCUUUCAACAGUUUUUGGUGAAUCAAGAAAGCCGCCAUCCCGCCACAUUCUGGAUCAGAAGCCACCAAGGAAGGAGGAUAAAUCGUGUUGGCUGAUUGAAAGGCAAAGAAAGAUCGAGCGCAGAACAAUCCACCCUAGGAGCAAUAGAGCCUACCCGAGUGGAAUCAAAGCCGUAGGUUGACAGUACGGUGCCGGUCGCGAAAAAAAAACGGAAUAAGAAGACGAAAGAAAAAUAGCA